UUACUACUCCCUCCGUUCCGAAUUACUUGCCGCAGGUAUGGAUAUAUCUAGAUGUAUUUUAGUUCUAGAUACAUCCAUUUCUGUGACGAGUAAUUUGGAACGGAGAGAGUAGUUA
rfam:Triticum urartu cultivar G1812 contig917028, whole genome shotgun sequence.